rnacentral:misc_RNA from 1 species
AAAAAAAAAAAAAAAAAAAUUUAGGUGUCUAUUAGGCAAAAAUGCAAUAGUUCAGGUGUUUGGGGAUGUAUUUGGCCUCUUUAUAAUAAUGGUUUUUGCUCUGGUUGUUGCUUGUGUACAAUGAAGCAUAAACUUUGAAUCAUCUGAUUACAACACCUAAUGGCAUUUUACUUCAUUGUGGUAGUGGUGACUGUUCUUAAGUUAUUAGUCUUUCUUGGUAGUGGAUUUUUUUAUAUUUUACUGUUUUCUGGUCUGGUUGUUGCUUGUAUACGAUGAUGCACAAGUUUUGGGUCAUCUAAUUAGUUCAGUUUUUAGUAAUGACAGUGUUUAUGUGAUUACUUUUUGUUGAUGUUAUUUAUAAAUUAUCCCCGAGGAAAAUGGACAUGCACUUUUCCAAAUAGUUUCACCAGAAACAGGUAGUCGAUUUAUAUGUUUUGAUGCUAUAUCUUUUAUUGAGACCACUAAAUCAUUAAAAUUAAUUUUUAGGCUUGCAACAUGAAGAAAGUUUUGUGCGUCAUGCAGUUAAAUGUUAAGAGUAAUAAGAUCUAGCGAUUCCAAGAAAGAAUUUUGAGCAACCAAUCAAUUGGUUUUAAAUAUUGAAAAAAGCAACAUGUAAGAAAAUAAUAAAUUGUAUUGAGACUCAAUUGUUGGACUUAUAAAGGAUGUGGAUUAAUAGAAAAAAUUUGAAAUUGAAGCAGUUACCUAAAAAGUGACGCCAAUAUCUUUACUGAAUGAGAUCCAUCCUUUUUGAGAAAAUCUGCAAGUGCAUGCCAUGCACGCACACACAGUGAGAAGAUUUUGUUCAUUGAUGU